UAUGUUCUAUUUUAAUAAGAUGGAAUAUGAAUUUAAAUCUUUUUAGGUCUUCUAAUUAAAUCUACUAACACAACUUUUCUUAUAUUUCAGAAAUACAUUGAUUUUUCGCAAAUUCUUAUUCCACCUUCAAUCUAAAAUCUCUCGGAAGAGUCUUGGGAGCGAUAUUCAGAGAGAGAAAGAGAGAACUGAUCAUCUUAUAUAAUGUUCACAUUACGGCCUCAGUUUACUAACGAUCCAAGGGACGAAGUCUGCCACCCUGGUGUAGACACCUGGCCAACCCUGCAUGCCGCAGGGUGACGGUCCAAAGGACACGACGCCCACGGCGGCCCAUCUUCCGGUACCAUCGGCGAUCCUCUCGACGGCCAUGAGGGGACCGCCCGAGUCACCCCGACACGAGUCCUUGCCCUUCUGACCUCCCGCGCAAAUCUGCCCGUAACCGAGGCGAACACCAGCAUUGCUGUAGGUCUGAUCGCAUUGUUCCUUGUCCGCCAACGGCAAAGCCAGCUUCAGCUUGACGUUGGACGCCGAGCGAGUCUCCGUCUUGCCCCAACCGGCCACGACGAGUCUACCCUCGAGCGACGUGUUGGACGGCAGGCAGAUGGGCUUGAUGAAGGUGGUGAACGUGACGUCACGGGUCAGACGCAGCAGCGCGAUGUCGUAGCGCUGGUCCCGCGACUGCGGCCUGUACUCCUCAUGAGCGAUUUGCUCCUCCACGCCCACGGUGACCGGAUCGUCCGCGCACACCAUGCUGUCCUCGCUAUCCUGAAUGCAAUCCCUCUCGGUGUCGGUGUUGUACUCACCCAGACGGACGCUGGUCAGCCGCCAGUUGGGCGGAAGAUCCUUGCCCUUGAUGCAAUGCGCGGCGGUGAGGACGUAGCGCUUGCUGAUCAGGACACCGCCGCAAGCUGUCGUCCUGCCGUUGGCUGUAACGUCGUUCGAACAAUAUUUCAUGAGAUUGACCAUCCAAGGAAACUCGUCGAGUUCGGUACGUUCACCACCCACUAUUCUCUGAGACAGAUCCCGGCCGCAAUCGCUCGGCAGCAACGGAUUGUCGGCUAAAUAAACCUGGAUGUUCUGAGUAGGCUGCGGGGUAGGUGGCUGCUGAUUCGAUCCCGGAGAUUCUGGCCUGGGAUUCGUCUGGGUGCCCGGACGAGUGUUGACAUUAUUAUUAUUAUUAUUCGCAUUGGCAUUGCCUAUGCAGCACACUAGUGGAUUCAUGCCUUCGAAGCCGCAGUGAUUGCGCCUCAGAUAGGCGAUCGCUUGCUCGCGAGAUUGCUGCAGGAUGCUGGCCACUACCGGGCAUUCGCGUGCAAGGAUACAUGAGCCCGUCUGACCGUCAACUCUGCAAUCGGUCGGCGAGCUUUCUGUCUCAGAAAUCAAAAUGAGAAAGUUAUUUUUUGAAAAAAGAGUACAUUUUAAGGAAGCUAUACUUACGCGCAUUGAUACCGAUGAUCACCAAUGUCAGCAACUUGAGGGACAUCGAAACCGACCUCGACAUCCUUGGUGAAUUAUUCAACUCUUCAAUUUAUCAACAAAAAUACCGAGAGACAAUCACAGCACACUUUGACAACGAGAACUCGCCCGAUUUCGCGCAGCUCCUUCCGUUUUAUGCCUUUGUACCGAAGAUCAGGACACCAACUGACGUUGAUGCCCAUGAUAAAGUGACCGGAGCCAGGGUCAACAACUGUCCCCACCACCACUGUCAACAAGCUUCGCCUAGCUAAUUAGCAGGGGCGGAUUAGCCGAGGAGAAUCAUCGGAAAAUUCGUGCGUUUAUCACACAAUUGGACGACUCGAACGAUCCCGUCUGAGCUCUUUCACGGCUGAAUGUGAUCCAGAAUCCAUGUGGUAUACGCAGCGACCUUGCUGUAGAUGGCGGGUGUCCUGGAGGCGCCGCAGGCCUUCGCACCAAAGGAAACGAUGCCGAUCAAGUAGUACCUAGGUCCGUCAUGGCUUAGCACCUUCAUUAAGGGUCCUCCGCUGUCACCACCGCAAGAAUCCUCGCCUAUGAUACCGCCUACGCACAUCUGGUUCUGCUCCGACAUCUCAGCGAAGUUGCCUAAUACUGAUUGCAAACACUUGUCCAUUUCGACGACCGGCACCUUGAGCGUCUGCAGGAUCGUGCUGGGCUGCGGGUCGUCUACAAUUUAACGAAAUGCAAAAUUUAAAUUGAAAUAGGCAAGCAGAUUCAUCACGCAGUGAGCUGCAGUGAUAACGUGUAGCUUAUUGAUCAAGGUGCCGCCGCAUCUGUAGCUCAAAUCGGGGGCACCAGGAUUGCCAUAUCCUAUUCUCGCGAUCCAAGGAUACGCGCCUAGGCUGGCAUUUUUACCACCGAUAAUACGAUCGCUGUUGGAGAUGCCGCACUUCCUGUGCUCCAGUAACGACCAGCUGGGAUGUUUAGUCACAUCGGCUACGCGGAUCAUUAAAUUCACUAUAGUACCGCACUUUUAUAAUGUGGAAAUAUAUUUCAAAAUUAUUAAUAAAAUUUGGUUCAGAAAA